AAGGGCUCGGGUUGGAAUGAGCAGCUCGGCGGAGGGACCCUCUGGUACGCGCAAGCGUGUCUUCCCCGGCUGUGGACGGUGCCUGGGACCCAGCCAGCAACCAGCUGAAGACAUUCUCCUUGGAAACACUUGGCCCCAGGGGCUCCUGCCCGGGGCGUUGUUCCUGCCAUGGCGUUCCGAAGGGCGGAGGGCAUGUCCAUGAUCCAGGCCCUGGCCAUGACGGUGGCUGAGAUCCCUGUGUUCCUGUACACGACGUUUGGGCAGUCUGCGUUCUCCCAGCUGCGGUUGACACCAGGCCUGCGGAAGGUCCUCUUCGCCACGGCCCUGGGGACCGUGGCCUUGGCCCUGGCCGCCCACCAGCUGAAGAGGCGAAGGCGGAGGAAGAAGCAGGUUGGCCCUGAGGUGGGAGGCGAGCAUCUGGGCACCGUGCCGCUUCCCGUCCUCAUGGCCAGGAAGGUCCCAUCGGUGAAGAAAGGCUACUCCAGCCGGAGGGUGCAGAGCCCCAGCAGCAAGAGCAACGACACCCUGAGCGGCAUCUCCUCCAUCGAGCCCAGCAAGCACUCGGGCUCCUCCCACAGCUUGGCCUCGAUGGUGGUGGUGAACUCAUCCAGCCCCACGGCUGCGUGCUCGGGACCGUGGGACGCCAGGGGGGUGGAGGAGUCUGCGACCACCAGCAACGGCAAUGCGGAGAGUCUCUACAUGCAAGGCAUGGAGCUGUUCGAGGAGGCUCUGCAGAAAUGGGAGCAGGCGCUGAGCGUGGGGCAGCGGGGGGACACUGGCAGCACCCCCACACUGGGGGACAGCCUCCGGAACCCCGAGACCGCUUCAGAGGCACUGUCCGAGCCAGAAUCGCAGCGGAGGGAGUUUGCGGAGAAGCUGGAGUCCCUGCUGCACCGAGCCUACCACCUGCAGGAGGAGUUUGGGCCCGCCUUCCCGUCCGACAGCGUGCUGCUGGAUCUGGAGCGGACCCUCAUGCUGCCCCUGACUGAGGGCUCACUGCACCUGCGGGCAGACGACGAGGACAGCCUGACCUCGGAGGACUCCUUCUUCUCUGCCACCGAGCUCUUUGAGUCCCUGCAGGCUGGCGAUUACCUGGUUCCGCUCUCCAGGCCCGCUGCCGCCUACGAGGAGGCCCUGCAGCUGGUGAAGGAGGGGAAGGUGCUCUGUCGGACCCUCAGGACGGAGCUGCUGGGCUGCUACAGUGACCAGGACUUCCUGGCCAAGCUGCACUGUGUGCGUCAGGCGUUCGAGGGCCUCCUGGGAGACCGGAGUAACCAGCUUUUCUUCGGGGAGGUCGGCCGGCAGAUGGUGACGGGCCUGAUGACGAAGGCUGAGAAGAGCCCCAAAGGCUUCCUGGAGAGCUACGAGGAGAUGCUGAACUACGCCCUGCGCCCGGAGACCUGGGCUACCACUCGGCUGGAGCUGGAGGGCCGAGGGGUGGUGUGCAUGAGCUUCUUUGACAUCGUGCUGGACUUCAUCCUCAUGGACGCCUUUGAGGACCUGGAGAACCCCCCGUCCUCAGUGCUUGCCGUCCUGAGGAACCGCUGGCUCUCGGACAGCUUCAAGGAGACGGCCCUGGCCACUGCUUGCUGGUCAGUCCUCAAAGCCAAGAGGAGGCUGCUGAUGGUGCCUGAUGGCUUCAUCUCCCAUUUCUACUCCGUAUCGGAGCACGUUAGCCCAGUCUUGGCCUUCGGCUUCCUUGGGCCCAAGCCCCAGCUCGCCGAGGUCUGUGCUUUCUUUAAGGACCAGAUCGUGCAGUACCUGCGGGACAUGUUUGACCUGGACAACGUGCGCUACACCUCGGUGCCAGCGCUGACGCACGACAUCCUGCAGCUGUCCCGGCGCCGCAGCGAGAUCCUGCUCGGCUACCUGGGGACGUCGGUGACCAGCAGCGUUGGCCUGAAUGGUGUGCUACCCCGAGACAACGGUCCCCUGGAGGAGCUGCAGUAGUGGCUGGAGCAGGCUGGGGAGGGGUGGCUGCCGGAGCCUUGUCCACAUGGGUGGUGGCAGAGAGAAGGUGUCUCCUUCGUCCUUUGGGUUGGCACCCGGAGCCUGCCUUCUAUGGCCCUUGGCAGCAGCAGAGCCCUGGCUGUGGUGACCAUGGGCAGUUGCCCCUGACCUUGCCCUGCCCCCAUCACCUGGGAAUCCCUAAGGCCUGGGGGCAAACUUCCUUGGAGAGGGAUGGAGCCCCUAGAGGCCCCACUGACUGCCCUUGGUUGUCCCUGGGGAAGCAGAGGCUGGACCAGCAGCCAGUGGGGCCUGCGGGAGGAGAAGGUAGUGAGAGGGAGAGGGAGGGAGGGAGGAAGGUGUUGUGAGGAGAAUCGGGGCCGGCAGAGCUGGGGUGCCCUGGGUGUGGGACCCCCAAGAGCUCCCCCCACCCAGGGCUACCGACAGCUGAGCCGGGAGGGUGGUGGAGAAAGGUGGGGACGGCAGGGCUUUAUGGUCAAGAUCGCUGGUGUCUUAAGCCAGCAGGAACCUGGGCUGAAGGUUUCAGAAUCCAGGCACGUGGCUGGCCAUUCGCAAUAAUCACGCCGCCACACUACAGAGUUUGCGGCUCCAGAGGGGGAGCGUGCGGGCCUCAGACCGGGAGAGUGGGACUGUGGGCAUCCUUGGUAGCAACGUGCUUGGAGCAUCCGGAGUGGGGACAGAACGGGGCCUGCCCCCCUUGUGCUCACAUCUGGGCAGGGAGCGGGUCCUGGACAGAUCCAAGCACCAGACCAGGACACCGUCCUCUGACACUCCCUCUGCCUGCCAAAGCCUGUCAUUUCUCCUCUCACUUCUGCCACCACCAAAGACAGGAGGUGGGGCUGGUCCUCCCGCCCCUACCCACCUCCCUCGGGGAGCCCUGGACUCCCUGGGCGGUGCCAGGCAUGGAGCUGGAGGCUCUGACCCAGCCCAUCACCUGUGCUGCCAUUGUUGGUGGCCCGAGGAGCAAGGGGCCCAGGGACCACACUGGGGGCAGUCGGGGGGUGUGCAGGGCUGGGCCAGCUCACGCCCUCCCCAGGACAAGAACCUGCACGGCACCUAGCCUCCAGCCAGGUGUGCAAUUGCUCUCCAGUCAGGCAGCAGUGUGGGGCCCGCCUCCCCGCUGGCCUUCAGAGAAAGGUGGUCAGCACGUGUUCCCAUGUCAUUUGUCCCCACUUUCUCUCUGCCCUGCAGACUCACUUCCCUUAGGGUGUUUUUACCUGAGCUGGGAUGUUUUAUUUAUUGCCUUAACACUUUAUUUUGAGGUUCUGCCCCUGUCCAGGUUGAGAGGUGCUCGAGAGAAAUACUGUUCUCCUGGUUCUCCAUUCUCUGGAUUUGGGGGACUGGCUCCCCUCUCCCCUGAAUGGCAAAGGGGCCCCAAGAGGGGGUGAUCUUGCCCAUUUAGUUCCAGAGGGAGGGGAGAUGGGGGCGGGAGAUGUUGGUCAUGAUCUGCCCUCUGUGAGUCCAGUUUCCUCCUAAAAUCUGCCCCCCACGUGCCCGCAUCUACCCCCACUGCCCCGUACUCCCCAGACUGGGGGGCUGCUGCGCACUAACCUCGGUCUGGCUCCGAACCCAGCAGCUUCCUGGGAGGGGAGGCCCGGGUGGUGCUCCUCCAUCCCAACAUUCCGUUCAUUUGCACUUAACCUGCGCUGUGAAUGUAAUCUCGGGCUUGGGCCUGGGCCUGGGCCCGGCCCACGCUGAUUUGCUCCUAAAUCACAGAGGUGGCAUUUUCAUUUUGUCUGUUUACACAUCCAUGCACUGCCCCUGGCACUCGGUCUGUUGCGGCUUCCGACUUUUGUACGGUAGAGCAUCUGUGCAUUGACUUCGAGUCGAAUAAACGAUUUAAGGGAUUUCUCCCCCAGUUGCCAUGCCACUGGGUACACAUGUGGCCCUUUACUUCCUGGGCCAGGGCUGGGACCCUCUUUGGGGUGCAGUUGGUAGGGGUUCCAGGAGGGCAAGGGUUGAGGGCAGCCUGGCGGAGGCUUCGAGUCCUGGGACCACUAAGCCUGGCAGGGUUCGCACGUCCCUAGGCCAGGAGGGCCCGUGUCGGGGAGGAGAAGGAGUGGCCAGUGAAGUGCUUGGGGGCACCGAUGUGGGUGGGCAGCCUGGGUGUGGACCAGCUCAGGCAGAUCUCGUGGGGUGGCUACUCCUGAGCCUGUGCCCACAUCUGCAGGAUGCGGGUGUCGGAGGAGACCAGGGGCAAAGACGCAGGCGCCAUCAGUCACCACCUGACCUGGUGAGAGCCAGGGUGUGGGACUGGGACAAGUGGGAGCGGCAGGUAGGAGCCCACCCUGACCUUCGGCUGUGUUCAAGGGUGGUCAGCACAAGCUUCAUUUGAAGGGUGCUUAGAAAAAGAAGAAAAAAAUUUGGGAAAUGUUCAAAGGUACUGAAAAGUUAAAAAGAAAACUAUGUACAGCCUACCCAUAAAAUCAACAUCUGGUUAGUAAUUAACAUCUUGCCAUUUCUUUUAAAAAUAUAUUUUAGAGAAGUUUCAGACAUGUGCUUUACCUGUAAGCACCUGAACAUAAAGAUAAGGUGGUUCUCUGACAACCAAAAUACCGUAAUCACACCUCGAAAAUGUGUCAGUCAUCCUCUGGUAUCUGCUGGGACUCGGAAAAGAAGUUUCCUAUCAACCAGUGGACUCAAGUUCCACCUGAAAAGGAGACUGUGUGACCCCCUUUGCCAGUUUCAGAGACGUCGUCCGAUACUGUCGCCUCCAACGCUGGCAGAACAACACGAUGUCCCCAGAAGCCCAAGCCCGGAGACCAGAGCUGGGAAGGCCCGGAGGGAACCCUGGCCCACUUCCGUGGCAGGCAGGGGACUGCCUAGGAAUCCACACUGAGAUUCCCGAGGGGAACGGAGGAACCUCUAACUAGGAGGCCGCGGCUGACACAGUUUGGGCAGAGAGGCCCAGAGAGCGGAAGUGCUGGAGUGCGAACCACUGGUAGACUUGGUGCUUUUGGUUUCAGGGCUGCCCUGUGACCUCUGCCAGAGGAGAGGCCACAGGGAAAGGCCGGUCCUACUGGGGACAGCUGGGGACUGGAAAAGCCUGGUUCUCGGGGCUUGUCCGAGGACUCCUAGGGAGCAGGCCAGUGACUUCCGCAGGCUCCUGUGGGUCGCUGUGCAGCAGCAUUCACACCCGCACUGCCGAGCCCCUCGUCCACAUGCCCCAUCUGACUUGUCACCUCCACCAUCUCACGGGGUCCUAGGGUCUCUUGGGACCCUGCAGUGGUUCCUAGGCACGUCUCUGUCAGAAAUGCAUCCGUAAGUGCACCAAAGAUACGCACCAGGGUGCUCCUAGCGGUGCUGUUUGUCACACCCCAGACCUGGAUACACCCCAGAUGCCCAUUAGAAGUCAAAUGGAAGCCCUGGCUGGUGUGGCUCCUCGACCCGAUGCUGCCCUGACAACUGAAAGACCGUUGGUUCCAUUCCCAGUUGGGGCACGUGCCUGGGUUGCAGGCCAGGUCCCCACGUGGGGGUAUCCGAGGGUCCCGAUCCAUGGAUCUUCUUGCACAUCAAGGUUUCUCUCCCUUUUUUCUUCCCUCUCUCUCCUUCUCUCUAAAAAUAAGUAAGUAAAAUCUUCAAAGAAAAAGAGUCAAAUGGAAAAUAAACUGUGGUGUACUCAAUACCACAGGGCGUUGAGAGAACAAAUUACAACCAGAGGGCACAGUGUGGAUAAAUCUCUCAAACACAGUUGUAAAAGAAGCCACGUGUGAACAGUACUUAGAGGGUGGAACAAAAGUGGGUUUACAGUUGCUCGUAUGGAAAACCAUUAAUAAGUACGAAUAGCGUACAAGUAUAAAGUGUUUUGCAUGCUCAGAACUGUAAACCCGCUUUUACCCCACCCUGUACUGUAGGAUGUGUAUAGAAAGCAGAAAACCGGCCCAAACUCGCGCCUGGUGUCAGAUGCCCAGGUGGCAGCCGCCCCGGGGGUGAGCAGAUGGAGUGUCAGGGGCGACUGGGGCCCUGGUUCUUGAUCUGGGGACUGCUCCACAAGUUUGUUUUGUUUCUGAAACAUCAUCACAUUCAAUUUCUGGAAUUUCUUGUAUAAAUGUUAUGUUUUAAUUUAAUUUAUUAAUUAGAGGGAGAAAGAAACGUGGAUUCGUCACCCCACUUAUUUAUGCAUAUGUUGGUCACUUCUUGUAUGUGACCUGAAUCUGCAACCUUAGCAUAUUGGGACAACAUUCUAACCAGUACGAUACCUGGCCAGGGCUAUAUUUUAAUUUUAAAAAAAAAGUAAAACCAGACCAAAUGACACUCUCACCUGUCCCGGCUCCCAUCUGUCCUCACCACUAGUAGUGGCCCUUAAAGUUUGGAGGGGCCACGCCCCUGCCACACCUCCACUCUCGCAGCCCCUCACCCCUCACUCUCUCUUGCCCCUUUCACCCAGCCACACUCCUGCCUCAGGACCCUUGGUUCUGCUGUCGCCUCUGCCAGGAAAACCCCGCACUGGAUAACUCCCUCUCUUUCUACAGUUCUUCAUCUUCACCACGGCCCUGGAAUGCUUCCCCUGACAAGAGCACUCUGCAAUCACACAGGCCUGGGCUUGUGUGAUUGAGGCUUUGCCUCCUUAGGCCGGUUUGCUCACCGGUGAAACGGCCACUAACCAGGGAGGAGCAAUGCAGCCAGACCAGGAUGGCUGCCCCGUCCCAGGGGCUGGCUAUUCUGGGAAACUCACAGCCCACUCUUCUUGUACCUCCUGCUUCUUGGAAGCUAAUAAUGGCAGUGCCUGAGGUAGCUGACGACA